AGCAGCGACAAGUAUACGAAGGAACUUUGUGUUCCGGUUACACAUAAAACAUAUUGCAUUGUGUGUCUAACGUUCCCCGGUGAAAAAUAACCCUUUCAUAAUGUUAAAACAAAUACGUUCGCAGUGGUGAAACUCUGUUAUUAUACUGUUGUGUUAACCUCCCGACAGUGUAUUUUUUCGCCGCUAUAAUAAAUUGUCGAAAGACCGUUUCGGUAUACGGGGACGGGGUCGUUUUG